rnacentral:lncRNA from 1 species
GAAGCAUCAGACACUGGGGGGCGCUUCUUGAACAGGCACUGGGCUAGACAGCCCAGACCUCGCGGAAACAAAGCGGGAAGGGGCCGCUCCUGGGGAGUUUUUCCCAGCUUCCCUGGGCCGGUGAGGGGUCCUGGCGUCCUGAACUGGAGAUGCUCCUUAGAGGGCACUGCUUCAGCCACCCCUGCCUUAGCAUACAUACGGGUCCCACAGGGGUCCUUCGACACCAGCUCAUCGUCUGGGUUCCACCAUCCACCCACGCACUCAUUUGGCAGCUAUCAACGGAGUAUUCACAGUACGCUGCUCACAGUUCUAACCGCGGAGGAUAGAGUUGAGGCCCACACGACAGCCCCUGCUCUCACAGAACUGAUGUCUCUAGAAGAGUCUUCCCUCAGUGAGAACGUUCUGAUUUCUAGAACAUUCUUUCUUCUGAUGAGUGAACAGCCUCACCGGAACUUCCCCAUCCUCCUGGCUUGGUUCCUGAAGUGGCCCAAGGCUGCCUUCUCCCUCCCGUGGGUGAACAGGGUCACUGCUUCCUCUCUUGUCCAGGCCCCCUGGCCUGACCCUGAGUCCCGGGCGUAACGGCGUUGUUGAACCACCACAACCCCAGGCGGCGCCUUCCUCUUGGCCCAGGGGCUCUCUUGGGGACAGUGUGCAGUACUCCCCAAGGGGGCUUUGCUGUGCAAAAGCAGCCCCUGCCGAUGCUGCGGCUCCCGUGGAUGGAGCACUGCCGUGGGAACAGAGUUGGAACUCAUCCAAAAGAAUAAAAGACAACUGUGUUGGAAGAUUGCCAAGGUUUGUAGCUGUGCCACCGCAGACUUCAGAGAUGAACACUGCCUUGGAGACGAGGAGGAUUCAAGUUGCAGAAGCAUUUAGAAACCUCAAACUUGAGACACGGUGGGAAAUCAGGAAGACAUGAGGCUUUGCUCAACACUGGAGAACACCAGUUCUUUUCAGUUUGUAUGCAUCUUUAUCAGGGUCUAUGCGAUUCUGAGGCAAGAGGCAUGAAACAACUCUGAGGAAGCAGGUCGGAGAGCAGCUGACCUGGUGAUCAAGUGAGGUCAGUAAUACAUGCUCAACAGAGAAGGCAGAAGUUACAUUUGAUGGAUGAAGCCAAGUAGGAGACCAAAAAGCCACAUGUGGAGGAAAACAUUCAGAUUCCCAGACUGAGAGUGAAGGUGGUUCAGGAUCCAAAUAUAGGUAAUAUAUUGCGAACAGGUACUGAUAUGAGAUGGCCGUAACUUUGACAAAUGUCCCCUUGUUACCAUAGAUGGCUUUUUUGCUCCAAGUAGGUGAUUAUCACCCCUGCAAGGUCAUCUUGAGGAAAUCACGAUGUUGGAAUAAUGGAACCAUCUCUGACCAAUGAGCUAAAUUUAGGUAAUUGGAUAAAGCCCAGAUUCCCAGGUUAAGCUGUCCCAAAACAGACGCAUUAAAAAUAUUUUAAAUAAUAAACAUGACAGAAACAUGGCAAAAAUAAAGUUAUAAUCACUGGGGUUAAGGAAGUUAUUUCAAAUAACUUUAAGCAGGCCAUUGGUUAGGUUACUAAUUUUCCAGCCACUGGAAGUAACAAGUUACCUGUCAAUCCUCCUCCCCUUAUCCAUAGGCUCUGGGUUUUUUUAAAACUCAGAUUUCAUCUUUUUUCCCAGGUAUCACAGCAAAAAGUCUGAAACUCUCGUUUUCCUCCACAAUAGUUUUCAUUCACUUCUUUUAGAUGACACGUGUUUGUGACUUAUUUUCUAUCCUUAUUUAUAUCUCCUGUUCAUAUCUUAUUUUCUUAAUUGAUAAUAAUCUUUCUGAGGGCAGAAAUGAAGACUUGGAACUUUGCAUUUUUUCCAGUCAUGCUGACACAGUACCCCGCAGACAGCACUUACUAAAGGGAUGAGGGACAAUACGGAGGGGCAGCCUGCUAAAAGCAGGGGCAGCAAGACGACAUCUCCAGCUGAGAGACACAUGUACCACUUAGAGAUGAGAAAGAUGCACCAGGGGCCAUCCAGGAAACAGUUGAAAAUGUGGAAUUGAAUGUCAUAAAGAAGGUCAA